CCUACGGGUGGCAGCAGUGGGGAAUAUUGCACAAUGGGGGAAACCCUGAUGCAGCAACGCCGCGUGAGUGAAGAAGGUUUUCGGAUUGUAAAGCUCUGUUAGCAGGGAAGAGGAAGGACGGUACCUGCAGAGGAAGCCACGGCUAACUACGUGCCAGCAGCCGCGGUAAUACGUAGGUGGCAAGCGUUGUUCGGAAUAACUGGGCGUAAAGGAUGCGUAGGCGGUUAAACAAGUUAUAUGUUAAAUAUAUAGGCUUAACCUGUAGAAAGCAUAUAAAACUGUUUAACUAAUGUGCAGGAGAGGUAAGGGGAAUUCUGGGUGUGGCGGUGAAAUGCGAAGAGAUUAGGAAGACCACAAGGGGAGAAGGCGACUUACUGGACUGUAACUGACGCUGAGGCAUGAGAGCAUGGGGAGCAAGCAGGAUUAGAUACCCGGGGAGUC
rnacentral:rRNA from 1 species